rnacentral:rRNA from 1 species
AGGAUAAACGCUGGCGGCGUGCCUAACACAUGCAAGUCGAACGCGCUUUCGGGCUUCGGUGCGAGAGCGAGUGGCGGACGGGUGAGUAACACAUGGGUACCUACCUUGGAGUGAGGGAUACCGGCGAGAAAUCGCCGACAAUACCGCAUAGGCUUCUUCACAAGGGAAGCAAAGUGACGCGAGUCACGCUUUGAGAUGGGCCUGUGGCCGAUUAGCUAGUUGGGGGGGUAACGGCUUCCCAAGGCGACGAUCGGUAGCUGGUCUGAGAGGACGAUCAGCCACACUGGGGAUUGAGAACGGCCCAGACUCCUACGGGGGGCAGCAGUGAGGAAUUUUCCGCAAUGGAGGCAACUCUGACGGAGCAACGCCGCGUGCAGGAGGAAGGUUUUCGGAUCGUAAACUGCUUUUCUCGGGGACGAGCAAGGACGGUACCCGAGGAACGAAGCCCCGGCUAACUACGCGCCAGCAGCCGC